rnacentral:rRNA from 1 species
ACGGCUUACCAAGGCGACGAUCAGUAGCCGACCUGAGAGGGUGAUCGGCCACAUUGGAACUGAGACACGGUCCAAACUCCUACGGGAGGCAGCAGUGGGGAAUAUUGCACAAUGGGGGAAACCCUGAUGCAGCGACGCCGCGUGAGUGAAGAAGUAUUUCGGUAUGUAAACUUCUGUUCUUAGUGAAGAUAGUGACGGUAGCUAAGGAGCAAGCCACGGCUAACUAC